rnacentral:misc_RNA from 1 species
UCUCCCGUGAGGGAGCAGUCUCGCCUGGCCAUAUAGGCAACAGGCAACGGGGGUUGCGUUCGUUACCCCACUGAAGGGAACAGUUCAAACCACGAACUGACGACGACCAUGCAUCACCUGUGCAACACCCUCGAAGGCUCCCAAAUUUUCAUAAGGGAUGCAGUUGCAUUUCUAACCUUGGUAAGGUUCUUCGUUUGUCGACGAAUUGAGCCACAUAAUCCACCGCUUGUGCGAGUCCCCGUCUAUUCCUUUGAGUUUUAACCUUGCGGCCGUACUCCCCAGGCGGGGCACUUAAUGCGUUAGCGACGGCGCGGAUUCCGUUGGUUGGAACCCACACCUAGUGCCCAACGUUUACGGCAUGGACUAC